AAGACGGGAGAUUGGGGCUGGAGGGAAACAUGAUGAAAUGGUGGAGCAGACUCGAUGGGCCAAAUGGCCUAAUUCUGCUCCUACACCUUAUGGUCCGAGGUUGCUCUAUAGAUCAAGUAUAUUCCUAUAUGUCCUUAUUUCUCAUAUAAAAAUAUAUUAAAUUUUGUUUAAUAUCACUUCUGUUUAUCAUUUUUGAAUACUUUCACAAGAUUGCUUUAACACAAGUGUUAUUGUUUAUUGGAAGCUCCACAAACUGAAGUUCGUACCUCACAUUCUGUCAGAGUUGAUUAUCUUUGUCAGAAGGACUUGCAGUUGAACACCAAGGGAAGCAUCUUUCAACAGUUCAGCAGCCCGUGGGAAACAAAAAAAAGGCACAAGUCAUCAGUCGUGAUUAAUUGCUACCCAAGAAGAAAGUAGUGAUGAUAGUGAGCAGAGCACACGGCCAACUUUUGAAAGCCUCCCCCCACCCCAAGGCCGCAAGACUAAACGCCCUGCUACCACCCAGCUCUCAACACUUCUGAAGCCCGGACUCGACUGUAUCAUUCUCUGGGUACCAUGGCACGGAAAACGCAGAGCUGCAGCAGGGAUGUAGUCGGACUCGUAUUGCCUGAUGUUCAAGGAUGUGCAACCAUUGAAAGUCUUCUGCAGAGGAAAACUAUCCUGAAGAAUGGCAAGAAACCUCUGUAAUGUGGGAGAGCCAACAGUAACUUGUACAGAGGAAAUUCAAAAAAACUAUCAGUGUGACAAUGAGACCAGGCAGCAUCUCUAGGAAGAGGUACAGUCGACGUUUCGGGCCGAGACCCUUCGUCAGGACUAACUGAAGGAAGAUUUAAGUCGAGUUACUGCAAGAGGUUGUCGAUUGUGGGUUGGAUACCUCUCCUGAUUGAAGAUCCAGAGAGCGAGGACGUGUUCCAGCUCACGGACCCCGAACACGCUUCCCACAAACUUGAUGUCUUUUGAAUGAGAUCAGGAAGACUGGAGGGAGAGAUGGAGAUCGUGUUGCAAUUAAUAGAUCUAAAUAGAGGGUGGCUGCUCGAUGUGCAAAUGUGCUAAUGAUAUCUUCGGCCCACAUGGGUUUCUCAGCCUGUCGAAUCUUCAUUUGUGGAGCACAACCAGAGACUGGAGUGACAGUGAUGCUUCAAGCAGAGCAGGCUAAGGUAAAACUGUCCUAGGUUGCCACUGUCUGACGAAGUGCUGAUGGAAGAUACUGACUAGCGGCAACAUACAGCACACGCUUUCUGACUUUGUGUAUGGCUGGAAGAAAUGUUUGCCAAUCUCUUCAGGGACUGUGAAGAUAUUUUGCAGUCUUUGGAACUUUGCCACUGCAUUGAGGAUUUCCUGUUGAUAAUCCUUGCUCAUCUGUGGGUUGAGUCCGUGUUGCACAAAUGGUUUAAGUGUGGGCACGCUGGGGUAACUUGGCUGUCAUCUUUAAAGUAAAAUUAUUUUGUCCUUUUCUCCAACCUUGAGUUGCUCGAAGGAAACGCAACGUUCCCUUGAGCCUCAAUCAUAAUGCUGCUGUGUGCUUGGAGAAUGUCAAUGUUAAGGAGUCACCUUCCUCUCUGUUACUGUUCAAACAGUGGAACACCUCAGACUUGGAAUAUUUAUCAGAAACCCCAGACAGUGAGCUGACAUGAACAUAUCCUGUCAGCACUUUACAAGUCUUGGCUGUCCUGGGCAUUGACAAACUGGAUCUGCUGAUUCUUGAAACACAGGAGCUGAUUGUGCAUCUGUCAAAGCACCUUGGAAAGAUUACAGUGCAAAGUUUUUUUUAAAAACUUUUAGCAUGGUAGAAUAACAGAAGAGUUAUAUUUUGCAUAAAGCACUGGUGGAAAGACUCAAAACAAGGAAGUCCUUGAUGCUUUUUUUAAUGCAGUUUUAAUGCUUUUUCAGUUAACUCUUGUUUUUACCCCAGUAAAAAGGCCGCAAUGAGUUCUCCAGUUUGUUUGAUGACUCUGUUGCUGCUAAAUGUGAACGGGCUCCCACUGUCUAUUGUUUGUGAGCCUCAAGCUUCCUUCCUACACCAAAUAACCAAAGGUACAAACUUGUAAUAUCCCUGCCUGAAUUAUAUUAAGUGGAUGGGUGGGGUGUGAGAAGGUCAUUUUUCAGCUACAAACCCAGGCUACAAUCUUGCUGCCUCAGGGCUUCAAAAUUCCAACUGGCAUGUUACUGCCAAGCAAAUCCUACUUUAGCCACAACUCCCUGAACAUGAAUUCCACCUCAGCCGCCCACGGCUGAUUUUGUAAGUUGCUGUUGUUAUACAUGAGAUUGAAUCCAGAUGUCUUACGGGUCUCACACUGACCCCUGCUGUAGCAUCACAGAGCCAAGUGUCAGAGCACAAGGAAACAUUGUGAGAUCCAGACAAAUCUGGUGUUUCCUCUGUUAGCGAGUCGUAGUUGCUAACACUGGUUGGGCAUACCUCUGGAGAUUUUUUUUAAUUGCAUGACCUUCCUACUGGGAGAAGCCAUGCUUUGCCUCCUCACCUGUCAUUAUUCACCUAAUAAGCCCAACCAGUUCUUGGAGAGCGAGUUCCCUUUCAUUACACAGACGUCUGCGAGCCCUCACUUUUCCCCCAUCUCAAAUAUGUGUUUAAAAUGAAAGUAGGUGCUAUACCCCAGUGAUUUAUUUGGCAGAUAAGUUUUAGAAAUUCCCUUUGGUUACUGGAGAGACGACCUGUACUCUGCAUUUGGUUUAACUUUUCUCAGUGGCAUGCUUUGCCCAGGGGUAGGUUUGGCCCCACCAUGUGUUGGAUUGGGUGCGCCCUUGCUUGUGGGUGUCAGCCCUGCACCGGCUGUGUGGCACGAUGUAAUUCCACAUGAAGCCUCUGUGUUUUUUCUACAUGCUGUCCAAUGUUCAUCACUUUGUAAGUUCACUCAUCCCGCACACCGCUCACUCACUGUGCUCUUCCCACACCUAACCUCCUGACAGCAGGUAUGUGGCACCACUUUACUGCUUGUGGUGAAGGAGACGCUGCUUUUAAUGGGGCACUGAUUUUAUUCAUUGUAUUGCUGUGCACUUAAGGAUGCAAUUGGAAAGCGGUAAUUUAUUUGAAUCUCUUCAAAUUGCCUGACCUGUUUCGACAGUGCAUAUCUUGCCCUGUUCAAUAUUAUUUCAGUUAUGUCCCUCUCAGAUGGGUGGCUCCUUGCUAUCUACUGGCUGUAAUGGGCAUGACAGAUUUUUUUGAUCUCUUAUCACAACAUAGUAUUGAAUACUCCUGCACUGGUGACAAAGAUCAGUGCUUCCCAGUGUCCAAUUCCACCUUUGUUCCCGUUUUCCCUCUCCCCCACAGCCACCUCCGCAAUUCCCAAAUUAGGGAAUUUCCACCCAGAAAAAAAAACUCUGUGGCAGUAGUGGAGUAUGAAUUGGGGAUGAUCGUGCUUGUGGGGUAAUUGAUUUGUGUGCAGGUGGGGUGUUGAUAAUUGGGUAUGUUUGCUUGGCAUGUGAAUUGGUGCGGGGUCAUCACCACCGCCAGUUCUCUGAGGACCCGUGGCUCGAGGCUGACGUGCACAGGAAAUGCAAUGUACAGAUACUGACCUACUGACAUCUGUGAAUCCAGACACUGCUCGACCAGACGGAAUGAGGGACUCUAAAUAUUCCCGGCUCCUCAGUUAGAUUGGUUCAUCAGAUCUGCAGGGAAUAUGGGAGUUUUGUCCUGCAGAGGGGUUGCACUGGUUAAAACUGUACAAAUACCAGCAGGGUCUCAGAUAAAGGAGAUGCAGAACAUAAUCUGACCUUUCUUAGAUUUUAGUUUUAAUAAGUUGCAGAAUAAAAAUGCAAUAAUAUUAAUUACCUUGUCUCUUAUCACAAUAAAAUUAAUAAUGUAUUCUCAUUUGUCUUUGACAUGUAU